UACGAAGGGGGCUAGCGUUGUUCGGAAUUACUGGGCGUAAAGGGCGCGUAGGCGGUGUGUCAAGUCAGGCGUGAAAGCCCCGGGCUCAACCUGGGAACAGCGCUUGAGACUGGCACGCUCGAGUUCGGGAGAGGAUGGUGGAAUUCCCAGUGUAGAGGUGAAAUUCGUAGAUAUUGGGAAGAACACCGAUGGCGAAGGCAGCCAUCUGGACCGACACUGACGCUGAGGCGGCGAA
rnacentral:rRNA from 1 species